CUGCUUACUCAGAAUUCUAGACUGGGGCUCUGGGGCUCGUCUGCUCUUAGGUUCUGUCUCACAGUUCACAUCUGCUCAUCUCAUCCUCCUUGCGGUUCUAGUUCACUGGCUUGGUUUUCUGAAGGUUUCUGUCGCCGCUUUUGCCUACAUUUCAGUCUUUAGUUCAAGAUGCUUGUUCUGUACAUUCACACAUUCUUUCCUGAUUCCAGAUCAUGUGUCCAGGUCCGAGGGGACCAAACCGGAGAGCUUGAGCUCUGAGACCUCAGUUUGGAGACAGUCGAGCGUCGUGUGCUUCCGGGCAGGAGGCUCACUCUCUGUAAAGGCAGCAGGUGCAUCAGGCUGCAGCCUGGGAAGUGGGGCUUCCAGAUUCUACUGAGAAAAGAGAGCGUGAUUGACAAACACGGAGUCUCCCGCACGCAGGGUUCGUCUUCCUGGUGUUCCAUGGCAGUCUCCAUCGGAAUGUGUUCACCACGUACACUAAGGGUCAUUUUUCAGCCAAAAGGCAUUUCUUCAUCGUUUCUGUCGGAUGGGAAUGCGGACCUUUGGAAGGUUUUCGUGCAUAAUGGUGAUGAGUCUGGGGAAAUGGAGCACCUCCUGGUGUUAGACGCAAAGUCGGCCAAUAUUUUGAGUCCUUGCGUGAAGAACACAAGGGAGUUGCUGGCCUCGGCGGCUCGUCCGGUCAACAUGUAGAGAGAAUCAACACUUCACCGUGUUUCUUCCUUUGAAUCACACAUUUUGUCUACACAUCUGAUCUCCAGCAGGCUUUUGAAGUCAGUCCUGGGGACUUUAAGCCACAGGAUCAAGACUCCUUAAGCAAAAAGUUGGUUUUGUUUUCAAGAGGAACAUCUAGGCUCCUGGGUGAGUCAUUUUCUUAGUGACUGUUCAGAAAAUUGAGCAGGGUGGGUCUUGGUCCACCCGUCACCUGAGCGUCCAUGUGAAACGCGGCUGUAACGCUUCGCGAGGUUGUUAGGAUGAGCAGGAAGCGGGCGUUUGUAAAUCUGGAAUCACUUCACACUGCACAGGGCAGAUGGUAGACGCCCAGCCAGUGUGUUUGAAUUCUUAUUUGCUGACGGUGGAUAGAUGUACACAAAGCAAGAUGGGCAGAGUGGUUCUGAGGAGAAAGGGGAAAAGGAGCGAACGGGGGUCAGUGGCUCUCAUGGCCAUGGACGCCCACAGCACUUCACAGUUUAUACAGUGAUUUUUCCAUUUCCUAUUUCGUCGUUGUGACAGGACUCUGGGUAGGUAAGAAAAGGAACCUCAUGUCUUUACUUUUACUUUUCAAUGAGAAAAGUGAGGCCCAGACUGAUUGAAUGAUCUUCCUGUGGACACACAGCUGCCGACACUGACACUAACCUGUGCUGUGAAGUGGCCGUACGCCGGGCACCCUGGAGGGCUUCGUGUGCUCUGUGUCCUUUAACCAUCAGAUCGGUCUCAGGGCCUGUUUUAGUCAUGUUCCCAUUUGCAGAAGAGGGAACUUCUUCGGAGGGUAGGAUGCUUUCUCAGGGAGACACAGGAGCAGGUGGAGAAGCUCAGGCAGCCUGAGGACACAGCCCGGGCUUGUGGCCGUGGCUCUGUGCUUCGGGAGCGGGGUCGUCAGCUGCUCACUGUGUUCGUGCACCAGGGCAGGCCUGUGCUGGCCACUCACCUGUGUGGCUGAAAGCUCAGUCCCAGGACCCAGCCAAGGUGAAGAGUUUUCCCUUGAGUUAUGUCUUGUGAGAAGCUUCUCCACGUGUACUGACGCUAUGAAAAUAGAUUCAACCAGCAGUGGCUACCUAGGAAACAGCAGAGGGUGAAAUGUCGUUCAUGGCAGCAGCCGUGGCUACAGGUGGGCAAAGAAUUAACACGAGAUGCCUGAGACCCUCGUAAAGAAAACAUAAAAUUUACUAGAAGACAGACAUCACAUCGGAUGUGAAAGAAGGCAAGACAUAUACCAUAUUCAUGGAUGAGGCAACUUGGCAUUGUGAAAUGUUUCACCCCACCUCAAUACAUCUACCCAAGUAAUGCUGUUCCAAUAAAAACUCUAGUAUGGUUGUUUUAAAGAAUCA
ensembl:lncRNA